rnacentral:rRNA from 1 species
GACGAACGCUGGCGGCGUGCCUAAUACAUGCAAGUUGAGCGAUGAAGAUUGGUGCUUGCACCAAUUUGAAGAGCAGCGAACGGGUGAGUAACGCGUGGGGAAUCUGCCUUUGAGCGGGGGACAACAUUUGGAAACGAAUGCUAAUACCGCAUAACAACUUUAAACAUAAGUUUUAAGUUUGAAAGAUGCAAUUGCAUCACUCAAAGAUGAUCCCGCGUUGUAUUAGCUAGUUGGUGAGGUAAAGGCUCACCAAGGCGAUGAUACAUAGCCGACCUGAGAGGGGGUCCGGCCAAUUUGGAAUGGGGAAACGGCCCAAACUCCAACGGAGGGCACAGGAGGGGAAUUUCCGGAAUGGACGAAAGUCUGACCGAGCAACGCCGCGUGAGUGAAGAAGGUUUUCGGAUCGUAAAACUCUGUUGGUAGAGAAGAACGUUGGUGAGAGUGGAAAGCUCAUCAAGUGACGGUAACUACCCAGAAAGGGACGGCUAACUACGUG